UAGGGAAGGGCUGAUGGACCUUCCUGUCCUCGCUCCCUCAGCCUGCCCCGCAGUGAGGUGCUCCCUUGUCCUGGCUUGGAGAGAGGGAUGCUCCUCUUUCCCUGCACACUGAAGUCAUGCUGCUUUUGGUGCAGCCUCUCUCAGGAGUACCUGCAGCCUGAGGAUGCCUCAGGAAGGUGGAGAGGACAGUGUCUGCCUGGGGAGGAGUCUAGGUGUGCUGUGUGUGAUUUGGGUGAGGCCUGCGCCUGGCAGGGUUAGGAGCUGAUGGCCACGAGGAGCUGGAGCCAUCUGGGCCCUCACAUCCUCUACCAGAACUCUUGGUCCUUUCAUGGCUGGGAUUGACAGGAGGUGAUCAUGUCGCUACCCAGCCCCUUGCAGAACCUGCAUGGCUCCAUCACCAGGAAGCACUGCUGAGAUGGGGAAAAAUGACUGUUGCCCAAUUGUUCCAGUCUCCACUCCACGGUGAUCAGGAGCAAACCCAGUGAGUGGGGCUGUGCUGGCCUGUGCUGGAAUUGUGUUCCUCGUGCUGGUGCAGGGGGUGGGAUUGGUUGUGGCUCCUUUGGGAAUGGCACACAGCCUGCAGUGGGU